rnacentral:rRNA from 1 species
CAGUUCGGAUCGGAGUCUGCAACCCGACUCCGUGAAGCUGGAUUCGCUAGUAAUCGCGCAUCAGCCAUGGCGCGGUGAAUACGUUCCCGGGCCUUGUACACACCGCCCGUCAAGCCAUGGGAGCCGGGAGUGCCUGAAGUGCGUGACCGUAAAAGGAGCGCCCUAGGGCAAGACCGGUGACUGGGGCUAAGUCGUAACAAGGUACC